UGCUGUUCAGUGUAAAUAAAAAUAGCCAUCGGUUGGGGAGUUUGCUUGUAAUGGCAUUCUUUAUUUAAAGGUUGGGUGGAGCAAGUGUUUCCUUGAUUCUUUUACCGAUGUUUUUCGCUUUGUCAGUCACCAGCACAGGAAAUGCGGAAGGUUAUUGCUUUAAUCCUGUGAUUUGUUCGUGCUGUUUUGGGGGACGCUUUUGCUUAUUUCUCACCGGCAAAAGCUAAAUGCAUGUACAGUGUGCGUGUAAUACAUGGUGGUUGGAGACUGGUGGUUGAUUGAUUUCUUUCCUUCCAGAUUGAGAGAAUAUUGAGGAAUCUAGUAUUCUAGCUGCACAAUUGUCC
rnacentral:sRNA from 1 species